GAUGAACGCUGGCAGCGUGCCUAAUACAUGCAAGUCGAGCGAAUGGAUUAAGAGCUUGCUCUUAUGAAGUUAGCGGCGGACGGGUGAGUAACACGUGGGUAACCUGCCCAUAAGACUGGGAUAACUCCGGGAAACCGGGGCUAAUACCGGAUAACAUUUUGAACCGCAUGGUUCGAAAUUGAAAGGCGGCUUCGGCUGUCACUUAUGGAUGGACCCGCGUCGCAUUAGCUAGUUGGUGGGGUAACGGCUCACCAAGGCAACGAUGCGUAGCCGACCUGAGAGGGGGAUCGGCCAACCGGGGACUGAGACACGGCCCAGAAUCCUACGGGAGGCAGAAGUAGGGAAUCUUCCGCAAUGGACGAAAGUCUGACGGAGCAACGCCGCGUGAGUGAUGAAGGCUUUCGGGUCGUAAAACUCUGUUGUUAGGGAAGAACAAGUGCUAGUUGAAUAAGCUGGCACCUUGACGGUACCUAACCAGAAAGCCACGGCUAACUACGUGCCAGCCGCCGCUGUAA
rnacentral:rRNA from 1 species